AUUGAACGCUGGCGGCAGGCUUAACACAUGCAAGUCGAGCGGAGAUGAGGUGCUUGCACCUUAUCUUAGCGGCGGACGGGUGAGUAAUGCUUAGGAAUCUGCCUAUUAGUGGGGGACAACAUUCCGAAAGGAAUGCUAAUACCGCAUACGUCCUACGGGAGAAAGCAGGGGAUCUUCGGACCUUGCGCUAAUAGAUGAGCCUAAGUCGGAGUAGCUAGUUGGUGGGGUAAAGGCCUACCAAGGCGACGAUCUGUAGCGGGUCUGAGAGGAUGAUCAGCCACACUGGGACUGGGACACGGCCCAGACUCCUACGGGAGGCAGCAGUGUGGAAUAUUGGACAAUGGGGGAAACCCUGAUCCAGCCAUGCCGCGUGUGUGAAGAAGGCCUUAUGGUUGUAAAGCACUUUAAGCGAGGAGGAGGCUACUGAGACUAAUACUCUUGGAUAGUGGACGUUACUCGCAGAAUAAGCACCGGCUAACUCUGUGCCAGCCGCCGCCGUAACAC
rnacentral:rRNA from 1 species